ensembl:misc_RNA 7SK 7SK RNA
GGAUGUGAGAGGUGAUCUGGCUACAAUAUAUGUCACCCCAUUGAUGGCGAGGAUUGAUCUGGCUGACUAGGCAGGUAUCCCCUUCCUCCCUCACCACUCUCUGUGCUCACUUCUCUAAAUUGCAUUCUUAGUGAGAGGGUGAAUAUAGAUCAAUCUUAUUCAAUAAUGAAUAUAGAUCAAUCUUUGGCCAAGGGUAUGUGUGUAGCUGCACUCCCUUGCUAGAACCUCCUCCAAAAGAACGAAAGAGAAUAGUUGCUCAUUCAGUUUGUAGUUUAGUGUAAUGAAUUAGAUACCCUUUAUU